GACGAACGCUGGCGGCGUGCCUAAUACAUGCAAGUCGAGCGGACUUUCAAGAAGCUUGCUUUUUGAAAGUUAGCGGCGGACGGGUGAGUAACACGUGGGCAACCUGCCUGCAAGACGGGGAUAACUCCGGGAAACCGGGGCUAAUACCGGAUAAUAUCUUCCUUCGCAUGAAGGAAGGUUGAAAGGCGGCGCAGGCUGCCGCUUGCAGAUGGGCCCGCGGCGCAUUAGCUAGUUGGUGAGGUAACGGCUCACCAAGGCGACGAUGCGUAGCCGACCUGAGAGGGUGAUCGGCCACACUGGGACUGAGACACGGCCCAGACUCCUACGGGAGGCAGCAGUAGGGAAUCUUCCGCAAUGGACGAAAGUCUGACGGAGCAACGCCGCGUGAGCGAAGAAGGUCUUCGGAUCGUAAAGCUCUGUUGUCAGGGAAGAACAAGUACCGUUCGAACAGGGCGGUACCUUGACGGUACCUGACCAGAAAGCCACGGCUAACUACGUG
rnacentral:rRNA from 1 species